CCCAUCUAUCUUGAAGACUUUCAUACAAU
rnacentral:piRNA from 1 species